GUACACGCUGUGACUAGCAUAUCAAUAAGCGGAGGAAAAGAAACUAACAAGGAUUCCCCUAGUAACGGCGAGUGAAGCGGGAAGAGCUCAAAUUUGAAAUCUUAAAGGGUUUCCCUUUACGAAUUGUAGUUUAAAGAAGUGUUUUCUGUUGAGGUUUUGGUAAAAGUUCUUUGGAAUAGGACAUCAUAGAGGGUGAGAAUCCCGUAUUUGACCUUUACUUUCAACUUUGUGAUACACUUUCAAAGAGUCGGAUUGUUUGGGAAUGCAGUCCAAAAGUGGGUGGUAAAUUUCAUCUAAAGCUAAAUAUUGGCGAGAGACCGAUAGCGAACAAGUACCGUGAGGGAAAGAUGAAAAGAACUUUGAAAAGAGAGUUAAACAGUACGUGAAAUUGUCAAAAGGGAAGCGUUUGACACCAGUGUUGUUUUUCUGAAAAUCAAUUAAAGAACUGUUUAUGCUAAGUUGUUUAGACUUUAUCAGCUAUCUGUUUAGUUUUGAGCUUUUCUUUAAUGCACUUUUCAGUUAACAAGUCAACAUCAAUUUCUUUUGCUGUAAAAAAGCUUGAGGAAGGUGGCUUGAGAUUCGUCUUAAGUGUUUAUAGCCUCUUGCCUAUGCAGUCGGAGAGAUUGAGGUCUGCAGCGUAGAUCCUUCGGGGCUAAAUGCAUUUGUGCUAAGUUAUAGCAUUUUAUAGACAACUUGUUGACUAUGAUUUGUCUUGUAGCUUACUCGCUUAUGUUAUUUUACCUACGCUUAGGAUGUUGAAGUCAUCGUAUCGCGC
rnacentral:rRNA from 1 species